ensembl:lncRNA
UAAUUCAGAGUAAGAUUAUCUACCACAUUCUAUAAAUGUUUAUUAAGAAAUUACUAAAAAAAAUCUUAAAAAUAAACUUACUUUUGUGGAUUCAUGUUUAAUUUUCAUGUUCCAAGAACUGCUGGAUUUCCCAGGGGCUGCCCCCUUUAUUCAUUCUAAGUCCCUAGACUUAAAACUUUUAAAACACGUUUAAAAAAAAGAAGAAAGAAGAUUGAUCUUGUACUUUUCAAGGAUUAUUUGCCAGGCUGAAUUCCCUGAAGUCUAUUGGUGUUCGAGGUAUAAGAAAUACUUAUCAUAGGAAAAGAGUCAUCUCUCAAGACCCCUUCUUUUAUGAAAUAGCCCUAGGCAGACAAUGAACAUCCUGGUGUGCUUUGUGAUGUCAGAGAGACCUGAGGCCAUGAUCAGAUGGGUCAAGUCAUAGAACUGAGUCUUAUUCUCUAGGUGACUGAAGAAGCUCCUCUAAUUUUCUUUGACUGCCCAGGACCAUUUUUUUUUUCUGAAAAAACCAACCAACCAACCAACCAACCUUAUUUUCUGAGUUCUUUUGUAUCUGCUCAGGAUUUGGUUAUUAGUCCCACCAAUAAGGCAAGCUUGAGGCCUAGAACGUACUUGGAAUUGGGCUGUUCCAGUGUUCUCCUCUUUUUUAAAAACAUCCUACUAAUAGAAAUCCUCCUGUAGUUGUAUGGGGAGAAAACAAAGGGUAUUUUCUAAAGAUGGGAUCUUUUACCUCAUCUGCAUAUUGUAUGAAUGAUACCUCCCUUGCCUAAUCAGGACUUCCUGUGUGGAAUCAAUGAAGUGAUGCAUAUGAAAGUUUUUGGAAAGCUAUAAGAUGAUGUCCCACCUUCCAGAGCCAAUCCAAGGUCCUCAGACGGGCCUCUGUUACCAGGCCAAAGUGGUGUGGCUACCAUGUCCUCCCCAUCGGAUUUCGCCACUGUGGGAACAAGACCCCUAUUUGAGGGCUGAGCAAAUGUCUUUCAAGCACCAGGAAAGACCCGUCCAGUCACUGCCCCAUCCUCGCCCCAGGACUGAACCAAUGCCCUCCUCACAUUUCAGACCUCCGGUCAUAACUGUCCAGCCACCUUGCCCCGCUCCUAGAACAGUUGCGAAGCCACUGCCUCAUCUUCAGCACCAGCCUAGGGCCAAUCAUUUACCCUCGCAUCCCAAACACCACGUAGUCUUUCCCUUAAGCAGGCCUGAUGUCCCACCCAACAAGCCUGCCAUGACUCUGACGUUCAGUAAGCAGUGCCCUCCGCUUUACUCCCGACAUCAGCCUGUGAUUCCUUUGGAUCUCAAUCCCCAGGCAGAAGCUUCUUCAGGCUCUAAACACUUCCCAAAGAUCUUCCCAGACUGUGGCCAUCUAGCUGAGGACCUAAGCCGUUACAGAGAGCGGGCCCCCUAUCCAUCGUUUGCGGAGGCCCCCCCACGGGAAGUCCCCAGAGCCAUGUACAUAGCCGUACCCCAGACGGGCCCCAGCCCGUCGGUCCGGGUUGCAACCAUACCAGUGAGCUCCGGUCAUCAGAUGGGACCUUUGCCUAAACCCAAGCGUCGGAUCCGGGCCACAAAUGCUCUGCUAGGAUUUUUAAAACUGGAACCCAUGCUUCAUCCAACGAACUCAACAACUAGUUGUCCGCACCCCUGGUCUAGAGACCCGGCUUCGAAAUCCUCAGGUGCAGACUAUUGGGCCCAGCCCAAAAGGCGUUCAUCCUCACAUCCCAACCUUCUUUGCCCUUGGAAAACAGUAUCUCUGCUCUAUUGCAAUGACAAUCUCCCCAAAUCGCUGGGGGUGCCUUCAUCACAUUCUCAUCAGAAAACUGGGGCUACGACUGCAUCCAACUCAGAGAAGCUGCCACAGGCUGGGGAUGCAACAUGCCCCACCGUCCACGGAUUAUUUCAGAUGGGAAAAAAGCCCUGGGAAACAAUCCCGGUGAGAGUGCCAAUGCCAGAGAGAACCAGCCAGGAUCAAAGGGCAAGACAGAUUCCCAUUGGCUUACACCUUCAAGACAAAACUCUACAUGUCCCUGACCACCAGGUGAUAUUUCCUCUCCAUCCAAAGGAUCCUUCACAUCCUAUUGCCCAGGUCUCGCUUCAAAUGGAACAAGAGCACAGGAAAACAGUACCACUAAGAACAGAGCACCAGGCCACACACCCUGCAGGUCAGGAUCACUGGGCCAUCCCUCCUUUCCUGGGCAUAGAUGGCCAGAAAACAAUUCUGUUUGUCCCUCGCUACAGGGCCACACCUCCUCCCAGCCCUAAUCAGCAGGCUGAAGACAUACCAAGCCCUGUUGCUUAUACAUUGAAAACCACAGCACCAAAAACCCAGCCCCAGGCCACAACUCUACCAGGGACUGGUCAGCAUCUUCGGACGGCACCUCCAGUGGUCUCUUACAGGCCAGACAUCCACCUGCUUGGCAUCAAACCCCAAGCCACAACUACAUUCACUUCAGACUACCAGAUUGGGAAAAUUGUGAAUGCUAAUGCUCAGCUAAAAAGUAAGCCAAACCCAGAACUAUGGGAAACAAUGAUAGAGGGAACAGACCAGAAGAACAUCAAUCCUUUUGUAUGGGGUUAUGGGACAAACUCUACUCUGCAGAGUACAGAUAACAGGGCAACAGCUGUACCUAGUUUUAACCAUUGGGUAGCCCUUCCACCCUUCUCUGGACUUCAGACUAAAACUAUCUUUGACCCAAAUGUCCAGUUCUCACUUCAACCAGAACAAAAACACCAUGAAGCAAGGCAAUCAGGAAUACACCAACAGCCUACGUCUCUAACAGGACAAAAUCAAAGGACAACUACAAAUCUCCCAGGCUUAGAUGACCAGAAAACAACUGUAUCUGAUUCUAGCCACUGGGCAACCCUGGUCAAGGUUCCUCCUAGGCCUGAACAGCAGCCAACUGUGUCUUCAGCAGGCCCAGCUGCACAAGUCUUUCUUCAGCUUGAACGAGAGAAUAUGGAACCAAUGCCAUUGAGAAAAGAAAUCCAGAAUCCUACUCUAACCAACCAGGAUCUCAUGUUAGUAUCUUCACUGGACUUAAACGCUCAAGACCCAACUCUACUCAUCUCAAAACACCAAGGCAUACCUCUAACUAAUCCUGCUCACCAGCCUGAGAAUACACUGGGAGAUCCUAAAGCCCAAGUCUCACGGCGAGAAGAAUUCAAACAAUGUGAAAUAACACCAGAGGGAAUAGACCAGCAGACCACAAAUCCCACUAAACAAGGCCAAGGGGCAACACUUCCCUUGAGCACUGAGGUCCAGGAAAUAUCUUUCCCUGGCCCUGACCACCGGACCAUAUCUACACCCAACCCUGACCACCAGACUGAGAAUAUUCCAGACUCUGAGAAGCAGGACUCUGGGCAAGUCAACUUAGAAUACAGUGAAAUGAUAAAGCCAGCAGCAGAGCAGCAGACCAAGAAUCCCACUGGUAAUGAUCAUGGUGCAAUACUUCAUCCCCUGCACACAGAUAAACAGGAGACACUUCUGUGUGGGCCCAGUCACCAGGCCAUGUCUCAUCUUGGGCAGAACACUUUGAUUGAGGAUAUAGAGGAUUCAGUUCAACCAGAAGAACCACAUUGUCAAAUGGUUCCACCUAGAACAAAUCAACAGACUAUAAAUUCCGCUGGGCAGGAUCAGGGGGAAAUAACCCUGACUCUGGGCACAGAGAAUCAGGAGACAAUUCUCUUGGACUCUAGGCAUCAAACUAAAACUUCUCUUGGCCCUGACUUUAGGGCUGUAGGUACAGCAGAAUCUGGGACUGGGCCCCCAUGUAAAACAAAACAGGAAAACAAAGAAAGAACACAACUAGGAAGGGAGCACCAGGCUACAACUCUCCCAGACCACAAUUUUUGGGCAACAAGAACUCCACUGGGCUCUGACCUCCAGGAUAAAAGCCGACUUGCCUCUGGAAACCAUGGUUCACUUCCACAGAACUCUGACCAAAAUGUGCAUACACCCCAUCUUAUCACCGAUAUUUUGAUACAAACAGAACAAGAUCUCCAGGAAGCAAUGCCGGUGAGAAGAGAUCCACAGGUCACAAGUAGGACUGUCUGUGAUCACCAGGAAACACCACUUCUACCUGGACCUAACCACCAGGUCAAAUGUUCUCCCAACCCUUCUCUGCCUAAACCUCCCAUUUCAAUUAAAAAAGACCAAGUCCAGAGGGAAACAUUGCCAAAGAAACCCAACCACCCAGAUUUAGCUCUUUCUGACCUGGAGUGCAUGGUCACACCUACAUUGGACUCCCAAGAUGAAAUGGUGAGUUGCCCUGGCUAUAGGACCGCCCCUCCACAGUGCUUUGAUGAUCAAGCUAAGGAUACAGUAGACCCCCUUGUCCCAACCUGGGAUCCAACAGAGCAAGAGCCCAGGAAAACAAGGUCAAUGACAAUAGAUCAAGAGGCCAUGAAUGUAACAGAUCUGUAUGAGGGGGAAGCCACACCGCCUUCGGACUUGGAAUCCCAGGACACAACUCAGUCUAGAUCUGAACACCAGACCACACCUCUGUACAGCCCUGACCACCUGGAUGAGAAGAAAGCUAAUAAAUGGGAAGUAAUGCCCCAGGAAAGAGACCAGCAGGCCACAGUGCGAACGGACCAGGGAUUCAGGACAUCACCGCCACGGCUGACUGACCCCCAGGACAAAAAUCCGCCUCGCUCUGACCACCAGACCAUACCUCCUGCUAGUCCAUUAGAAGCUUCUUCAGAUUCUGACCCCCAGAACAUCACUCCAUCAGAUCAUAAACGUGUAGCAAAACGGUCAGUGAGUCCAGAUCACCAGGUCACCCCCCCCCUCAGCCUUGACUCUCAAGUUACUUCUCCAGCCAGCUCAGCUCAGCAGGUUGAGGCUAGAUUAGACUCUACCAAACCCCAGGGCCCUAAACACAGGACUGUACAGUCCUCAGGUUCUGGCCUCAAGAAUAAAUCUCCAAGAGGUCAGGGCCCCCAGGCUGAAGAUGAGCCAAACUCUGACCCUGAAGAUCAUAAUCAAUCAGAAUCCCAACAUCAGACCCAGCUGGCACCAAAAAAAAAGUCUUUUAAAUGUUUAAAUUACCUCAAACCAUAUAUUGUGGAGGGGGGGCAAGUCUCUGACAGUAAAGUUCAGGACAUUGUCAGUUCUAUCCCUCAGGAGAAAAUAAAAAACGAUGUCUAUAAACAAAUUCUUCUACGAAAGAAGAGGAAAUUCUCACCUCACAGUUCUAGUCGAUACAGUUCAUCUUAUUAUCCUGUCUGUUUAGUUUGUGCUUCUUGGAUCCCAGAUGGCUGUCCCCAUGAGGGAAUGAAAUACCCCUCUGAAGCACAGUUAAUGGUCAUACCUAUACCUAUGCCAGGCACUGAGGAACUGGGGGUGAAAUUUAUCCUCCAAGUGCCUCAUAAGACACCAUGCCCCUAUUUUGAUUUUCCUUACUCCGACUAUAGUCUGGAAAGGUAUCCCCAUGACUCCCAAACUUUUACAGUAUCAUCUUACUCUGACCCUGAGCUCCCGAGGCCUUCUAGGCCAAAGUGGCUCCAUUUCAUACUUGACAAGCCUCAGCGUCCAGAGAGGAGAAACCAAGAACCAGUAUUCAGAGAGGAAAUGCCCUUGAAGAGGUGUGGUCUCAGAGAAGAGGAGGCCAGGGAAGAUAGAACAUUUUUCAAAUCUUUGCUGGAUAGAUUUCAGUGGAGGUUGGGAGAUUAAAUGAUUAUAUAUUCUAUUUGAAAGGAAUUGGCCCCCUUUAUGAUUGAAAUGCCUUAUUUUAUAGAUCACACAUGUUAUUUUAUGAAAUAAGAUUGAGAAAUGCUGAGUCUUUUUUUAAAAAAAAAUUAUUUUAAAGUAUUUUUCCAAGGUUACAUGAUUCAUGUUCUUUCCCUCUCCUUUUCCCCUUCCCCCUCCCAGAGCUGACAAGCAAUUCUACUGGGUUAUACCUUUAUACUCAAUACCCAUUUCCAUAUUAUUCAUUUUUGUAAUAAGAGUAAUUUUUUAAACCCCAUAUCCUAAAUCCUAUUCCCAUAUAAACGAGUGAUAAAUCAUGUUUUUCUUCUGUGUUUCUACUCCCACAGUUCUUUCUCUAGAUGUGGAUAGUGUUCUGUUUCAUAAGCCCCUCUGGAUUGUCCUGGAUCAUUGCAUUGCUAUUAGUAGCAAAGUUGAUUACAUUUGAUUGUCCCAUAAUGUUUCAUUUACUGUGUAUAAUGUUCUCCUGUUCUCUGCUCAUUUCACUCCAUAUCAGUCUUCCCGGUUUUUAUAGAAAUCAAACAGUUCAUCAUUCCUUAUAGCACAAUAGUAUUCUAUUACCAUCAUAUGCCACAAUUUAUUCAGCCAUUCCCUAAUUGAAGGGCAUCCCCUCAUUUUCCAUUUUUUGCCACUACCAAUAGCACAGCUAUAAAUAUUUUUGUACAAACAUUUUUUUUUGUUUCUUUGGGACAAACCCAGUAGUGGGUAUGCUUGAUCAAAGGGCAGGCAGUCUUUUAUUUUAUUUAAAUUUUUAAAUUUUAUUUAAUUGAUUAAGAAAAAUUUUUCAUGGUUACAUGAUUCAUAUUCUUUCCCUCCCCUCCUCCCAUAGCCAAUGUGCAAAUCCACUAGGUUAUGCAUGUGUCAUUGAUCAAGACAAAAUUCCAUAUUAUUGAUAUUUGCACUAGGGUGAUUGUUUAGACUUGAGUCUACAUCCCCAAUCAUAGCCCCACCGACUCAUGUGAUCAAG